GGGGAUUUAGCUCAGUGGUUAAGAGCGCUUGCCUAGGAAGCGCAAGGCCCUGGGUUCGGUCCCCAGCUCCG
rnacentral:tRNA from 1 species